rnacentral:rRNA from 1 species
AUUGAACGCUGGCGGCAUGCCUUACACAUGCAAGUCGAACGGUAACAGGUUAAGCUGACGAGUGGCGACCGGGUGAGUAAUGUAUCGGAACGUGCCCAGUCGUGGGGGAUAACUGCUCGAAAGAGCAGCUAAUACCGCAUACGACCUGAGGGUGAAAGCGGGGGAUCGCAAGACCUCGCGCGAUUGGAGCGGCCGAUAUCAGAUUAGGUAGUUGGUGAGGUAAAGGCUCACCAAGCCGACGAUCUGUAGCUGGUCUGAGAGGACGACCAGCCACACUGGGACUGAGACACGGCCCAGACUCCUACGGGAGGCAGCAGUGGGGAAUUUUGGACAAAGGGCGCAAGCCUGAUCCAGCCAUGCCGCGUGCGGGAAGAAGGCCUUCGGGUUGUAAACCGCUUUUGUCAGGGAAGAAAAGGUUCUGGCUAAUACCUGGGACUCAUGACGGUACCUGAAGAAUAAGCACCGGCUAACUACGUG